rnacentral:tRNA from 1 species
ACUAUUUUGGCAGAAAAAUGUGAUGUUUUUAAAAUUCUUUGAUAUAUAAUUAUUUUAUAUAGAUAGUA